GACGAACGCUGGCGGCGUGCUUAACACAUGCAAGUCGAGCGAGGCCCUCCUUCGGGAGGUGUCCUAGCGGCGAACGGGUGAGUAACACGUGGGCAACCUGCCCCCGGCUCUGGGAUAACUCCAAGAAAUUGGGGCUAAUACCGGAUAUGACCGCUGACCGCAUGGUCUGGUGGUGGAAAGAUUUAUCGGCUGGGGAUGGGCCCGCGGCCUAUCAGCUUGUUGGUGGGAUAGUGGCCUACCAAGGCGACGACGGGUAGCCGGCCUGAGAGGGUGAUCGGCCACACUGGGACUGAGACACGGCCCAGACUCCUACGGGAGGCAGCAGUGGGGAAUAUUGCGCAAUGGGCGGAAGCCUGACGCAGCGACGCCGCGUGGGGGAUGACGGCCUUCGAGUUGUAAACCUCUUUCAGCAGGGACGAAGCCGCAAGGUGACGGUACCUGCAGAAGAAGCACCGGCCAACUACGUGCCAGCAGCCGCGGUAACAC
rnacentral:rRNA from 1 species